rnacentral:rRNA from 1 species
GUAGGUGGGUUUGUAAGUCAGAUGUGAAAGCCUUCUGUUCAACGGAAGAAUUGCAUCUGAAACUACAAAUCUUGAGUAUAGGAGGGGAGAGUGGAACUUCUGGUGGAGCGGUGAAAUGCGUAGAUAUCAGAAGGAACGCCGGCGGCGAAAGCGACUCUCUGGCCUAUUACUGACACUGAGUGUGCGAAAGCUAGGGGAGCAAACGGGAUUAGAUACCCCGGUAGUCCUAGCCGUAAACGAUGGGCACUAAGUAG